CCUACGGGAGACAGCAGUGGGGAAUAUUGCACAAUGGGGGAAACCCUGAUGCAGCGACGCCGCGUGAGUGAAGAAGUACUUCGGUAUGUAAAGCUCUUUCAGCAGGGAAGAAAAUGACGGUACCUGACCAAGAAGCCCCGGCUAACUACGUGCCAGCAGCCGCGGUAAUACGGAGGGGGCAAGCGUUAUCCGGAUUUACUGGGUGUAAAGGGAGCGUAGACGGCAGGGCAAGUCUGGAGUGAAAGGCGGGGGCUCAACCCCCGGAGUGCUCUGGAAACUGCCAGGCUGGAGUGCAGGAGAGGUAAGUGGAAUUCGUGGUGUAGCGGUGAAAUGCGUAGAUAUUACGAAGAACACCAGUGGCGAAGGCAGCUUACUGGACUGUAACUGACGUUGAGGCUCGAAAGCGUGGGGAGCGAACAGGAUUAGAUACCCGGGUAGUC
rnacentral:rRNA from 1 species